rnacentral:misc_RNA from 1 species
GAUGAAGAACGCAGCGAAAUGCGAUAAGUAAUGUGAAUUGCAGAAUUCAGUGAAUCAUCGAAUCUUUGAACGCACCUUGCGCCCUUUGGCCAUUCCGAAGGGCAUGCCUGUUUGAGUAUCAUGAACACCUCAACUCUUCAUGGUUUUCCAUGAUGAGCUUGGACUUUGGGGGUCUUGCUGGCCUGUGGGUCGGCUCCUCUCAAAUGAAUCAGCUUGCCGGUUUUUGGUGGGCAUCACAGGUGUGAUAACUAUCUACGCUUGUGGUUUUCCACCAGGGUAACCUUCAGCAGUGGAGGUUCACUGGAGCUUACAAAUGUCUCUCCUCUGUGAGGACAGCCCUUUGAAUGUUUGAUCUCAAAUCAGGUAGGACUACCCGCUGAACUUAAGCAUAUCAAUAAGCGGAGUA